GACGAACGCUGGCGGCGUGCUUAACACAUGCAAGUCGAACGGUGAAGCGCCUUCCUUUUUGGUGGGUGUGGAUGAGUGGCGAACGGGUGAGUAACACGUGAGUAACCUGCCCCCUUCUUCUGGAUAUCCGCAUGAAAGUGUGGCUAAUACGGGAUAUUCUGGGUCUGUCGCAUGAUGGGUCUGGGAAAGAUAUUGUUUCGGUGGGGGAUGGGCUCGCGGCCUAUCAGCUUGUUGGUGGGGUGAUGGCCUACCAAGGCGGUGACGGGUAGCCGGCCUGAGAGGGUGGACGGUCACACUGGGACUGAGACACGGCCCAGACUCCUACGGGAGGCAGCAGUGGGGAAUAUUGCACAAUGGGCGCAAGCCUGAUGCAGCGACGCCGCGUGAGGGAUGGAGGCCUUCGGGUUGUGAACCUCUUUCGCCAGUGAAGCAGGCCUGCCUCGUUUGUGGGUGGGUUGACGGUAGCUGGAUAAGAAGCGCCGGCUAACUACGUG
rnacentral:rRNA from 1 species